rnacentral:rRNA from 1 species
GCCAUGCAAGUGAAAGUACAUAUGUAAAUAAUAUAUUGAAACUGCGAACGGCUCAUUAAAACAGUUAUAAUCUACUUGAUGUUUUUAAUAUAAGGAUAACUACGGAAAAUCUGUAGCUAAUACUUGUAAAAAUACCUUUUGAUAUAUACAUAUGUAUGUAUCAUUAAGGUAUGUAUUUGUUAGAUAUAAGAAUAAAAUAAAUAUAAUUGAAUUAUAACAAAGAAGAAACACAUAAAAUAUGUGUAUUAUCAAUCGAGUAUCUGACCUAUCAGCUUUUGAUGUUAGGGUAUUGACCUAACAUGGCUAUGACGGGUAACGGGGAAUUAGAGUUCGAUUCCGGAGAGGGAGCCUGAGAAAUAGCUACCACAUCUAAGGAAGGCAGCAGGCGCGUAAAUUACCCAAUUCUAAAAAAGAGAGGUAGUGACAAGAAAUAACAAUACAAUAUCGAAAAAUGAUUUUGUAAUUGGAAUGAUAGGAAUUUACAAGGUUCCUAGAGAAACAAUUGGAGGGCAAGUCUGGUGCCAGCAGCCGCGGUAAUUCCAGCUCCAAUAGCAUAUAUUAAAAUUGUUGCAGUUAAAACGUUCGUAGUUGAAUAUUAAAGAAUCCGAUGUUUCAUUUAAACUGGUUUGGGAAAACCAAAUAUAUUAUAUAUUUUGCUUUGUUCAAAAUAAGGUUUUCUAAUAAAUUAUGUUUUUAUCAGAUAUGACAGAAUCUUUUUUAAAAUCUCUUCAAUAUGCUUUUAUUGCUUUUGAGAGGUUUUGUUACUUUGAGUAAAAUUAAGUGUUCAUAACAGACGGGUAGUCAUGAUUGAGUUCAUUGUGUUUGAAUACUACAGCAUGGAAUAACAAAUAUGAAUAAGCUAAUUAUUUUUUUUUUUCAUAAUUUUUUUUGAUAUUCUUAUUAGCUUAGUUACGAUUAAUAGGAGUAGCUUUGGGGGCAUUCGUAUUCAGAUGUCAGAGGUGAAAUUCUAAGAUUUUCUGGAGACGGACUACUGCGAAAGCAUUUGCCUAAUCUAUUUCCAUUAAUCAAGAACGAAAGUUAAGGGAGUGAAGACGAUCAGAUACCGUCGUAAUCUUAACCAUAAACUAUACCGACUAGGUGUUGGAUGAAUAUAAAAAAUAUAUAAAUAUGUAGCAUUUCUUAGGGAAUGUUGAUUUUAUAUUAGAAUUGCUUCCUUCAGUACCUUAUGAGAAAUCAAAGUCUUUGGGUUCUGGGGCGAGUAUUCGCGCAAGCGAGAAAGUUAAAAGAAUUGACGGAAGGGCACCACCAGGCGUGGAGCUUGCGGCUUAAUUUGACUCAACACGGGAAAACUCACUAGUUUAAGACAAGAGUAGGAUUGACAGAUUAAUAGCUCUUUCUUGAUUUCUUGGAUGGUGAUGCAUGGCCGUUUUUAGUUCGUGAAUAUGAUUUGUCUGGUUAAUUCCGAUAACGAACGAGAUCUUAACCUGCUAAUUAGCGGUAAGUACACUAUAUUUUUAUUUGAAAUUGAAUAUAGGUAAUUAUACAUGUUUAUUCAGUGUUCAAAUUAGGAUAUUUUUUUAUUAAAAUAUUCUUUUCCCUGUUCUACU